rnacentral:rRNA from 1 species
GACGAACGCUGGCGGCGUGCCUAAUACAUGCCAGUUGAGCGCUGAAGGCUGGUACUUGUACCAACUGGAUGAGCAGCGAACGGGUGAGUAACGCGUGGGGAAUCUGCCUUUGAGCGGGGGACAACAUUUGGAAACGAAUGCUAAUACCGCAUAAAAACUUUAAACACAAGUUUUAAGUUUGAAAGAUGCAAUUGCAUCACUCAAAGAUGAUCCCGCGUUGUAUUAGCUAGUUGGUGAGGUAAAGGCUCACCAAGGCGAUGAUACAUAGCCGACCUGAGAGGGUGAUCGGCCACCUUGGGACUGAGACACGGCACAAACUGCCACGGGGGGCGGCAGUAGGGAAUCAUCAGACAUGAACGGAAGUCUGACCGAGAAAGGCCGAGUGAGUGAAGAAGAUUUUCGGGUCGUAAAACUCUGUUGGUAGGGAAGAACGUUGGUGAGAGUGGAAAGCACAUCAAGUGACGGUAACUACCCAGAAAGGGACGGCUAACUACGUG